ensembl:misc_RNA 7SK 7SK RNA
GGAUGUGAGGGCGAUCUGGCUGUGACAUUUGUCACCCCAUUGAUCACCAGGGUUGAUUCAGCUGAUCUGGCUGGCUAAGCGGGUAUCCCUUCCUCCUUCACUGCUCCAUAUGCAUCCCUCCAAAAGCUGUGUGCUGGGUCAAAGAAGAUGACCUUCCCUGAUAGAGGAGGACUGUUCUUCGGUCAAGGUUAUAUGAGUAGCUGUGCUCCCCUGCUAGAACCUCCAGACAAGCUCUCAAGACGUAAAAUUUUGCCACACCUGUAAUCCUAGAGGCUUGGGAGGCUGAGGCAGGAGGAUCACAAGUUCAAACCCAGCCUCAGCAAUUUAA